rnacentral:rRNA from 1 species
UUGCAAAUGCCACUGUAACCUCCUGAACAUACCAAUCGUGCUUGGUUUCAGAAGCUAAGCAGGCUCAAGACUGGUUAGUACUUGGAUGGGAGACUGCCAGGAAAUCCCAUGGUUCUAGU